UACGUAGGGGGCAAGCGUUGUCCGGAUUCAUUGGGCGUAAAGAGCGUGUAGGCGGCCAGGUAGGUCGGUUGUGAAAACUGGAGGCUCAACCUUCAGAGGUCGACCGAAACCAUCUGGCUAGAGUCCGGGAGAGGAGAGUGGAAUUCCUGGUGUAGCGGUGAAAUGCGCAGAUAUCAGGAAGAACACCCGUGGCGAAAGCGGCUCUCUGGACCAAUACUGACGCUCAUGUGCGAAAGCGUGGGGAGCAAACAGG
rnacentral:rRNA from 1 species